AGGACGACGCUGGCGGCGUGCUUAACACAUGCAAGUCAAGGGGGCCCGCAAGGGUAACCGGCGAACGGGUGCGUAACACGUGAGCAAUCUGCCUAGAUGUGGGGGAUAGCCGGCCCAACGGCCGGGUAAUACCGCAUACGCUCGUCGACUGGCAUCAGUUGACGAGGAAACUUUCGAGGCAUCUAGAGGAGCUCGCGGCCUAUCAGCUAGUUGGUGGGGUAACGGCCUACCAAGGCGGUGACGGGUAGCUGGUCUGAGAGGAUGGCCAGCCACAUUGGGACUGAGAUACGGCCCAGACUCCUACGGGAGGCAGCAGUGGGGAAUAUUGCGCAAUGGCCGAAAGGCUGACGCAGCGACGCCGCGUGGGGGAUGAAGCAUUUCGGUGUGUAAACCCCUGUUGCUCGGGACGAACAAGCCUUUUCGAGGGCUCUGACGGUACCGAGUGAGGAAGCACCGGCUAACUCCGUG
rnacentral:rRNA from 1 species